rnacentral:tRNA from 1 species
GUUAGGUUAAGUUAAUUUUAAACUGUUAGACUGUGGCGCUAAAAAUAAAUAUUUUACCUGACA